rnacentral:rRNA from 1 species
UGGGGAAUAUUGCACAAUGGGCGCAAGCCUGAUGCAGCAACGCCGCGUGAGGGAUGACGGCCUUCGGGUUGUAAACCUCUUUUAGCAGGGAAGAAGCGAAAGUGACGGUACCUGCAGAAAAAGCGCCGGCUAACUACGUGCCAGCAGCCGCGGUAAUACGUAGGGCGCAAGCGUUAUCCGGAAUUAUUGGGCGUAAAGAGCUCGUAGGCGGUUUGUCGCGUCUGCUGUGAAAUCCCGAGGCUCAACCUCGGGUCUGCAGUGGGUACGGGCAGACUAGAGUGCGGUAGGGGAGAUUGGAAUUCCUGGUGUAGCGGUGGAAUGCGCAGAUAUCAGGAGGAACACCGAUGGCGAAGGCAGAUCUCUGGGCCGUAACUGACGCUGAGGAGCGAAAGGGUGGGGAGCAAACAGGCUUAGAUACCCUGGUAGUCCACCCGUAAACGUUGGGAACUAGUUGUGGGGUCCAUUCCACGGAUUCCGUGACGCAGCUAACGCAUUAAGUUCACCGCCUGGGGAGUACGGCCGCAAGGCUAAAACUCAAAUGAA